CCGGACUGAGACUGUGAACGUCAUGCUGAGGGGUUGUACAGUCUAAUGGGCUCCAGCUGUUGUGUGUGUGCACUUUGGGCUCCAGCUGUUGUAUGUGUGCUCUUCUUUGGGCUCUAGCUGUUGUGUGUGUGCUCUUCUUUGGGUUCCAGCUGUUGCACGUGUACUCUUCUUUGGGCUCCAGCUGUUGCACGUGUGCUCUUCUUUGGGCUCCAGCUGUUGCACGUGUGCUCUUCUUUGGGCCUGUUGCGUAUAAAAAAUGCAUGAAAUAAACACCAGGGAGACCAAGUAUGAUUAAUAUGUAAGUUUAUUGAGGUUUUACAGACCAAGUAUGAAUAGCAUGUAAUUUUAUCGAGAGUUCACAGGACUGGUGGGAUCAUAAUACUGGGGGGAAUGGUAGGGAGAAAACGGGUGAUAAAAUAGGGUGCGUCCUGGGGACGUGGGAUAGCCAGCCGAGGUAUACUUUGGAGAGUACUCGGGACUGGCAGGUGAGAAAAGGGGAGAAUGGUCAGAGCCCGGGUCAGAGAAGGUCACAUCAUCCUCAGUCUGAUAGCUAGAGGGAGGGUCAGGCAGAGGGUCUGUCUGCAUAGAGGCAUCAAUGCACACAUUCGCGGGGUGGUUUCUGGAUCUGAGAGGUGGGGGGAACCCCGCAUUUCCAGAGGGGGUGCGCAGGACGUCAAGUAGCAUAGUGAUGUCAGCAGUGAGAUGCGCGAGCUGAUAGCGAGUGUUCAGAUCCAAAUCCAGCCCCUCCAGUAAAGGAGAUAAGGAAAAGUGAUGGGCACCUAGGACACACAGAAGCGAAUAAACGGCAUUAGGCGGGUAUUGAUGAAUUGGAUUCACACUUUAAGAUUAACAUUAUGAUUUAUUAUUCACAGAGAAAUAUAGGAGCUGAGGAGUGCAGGCU
ensembl:lncRNA